UCCGGGAAACCGGGGCUAAUACCGAAUGAUAAAGUGUGGCGCAUGCCACGCUUUUGAAAGAUGGUUUCGGCUAUCGCUUACAGAUGGGCCCGCGGUGCAUUAGCUAGUUGGUAGGGUAAUGGCCUACCAAGGCAACGAUGCAUAGCCGACCUGAGAGGGUGAUCGGCCACACUGGGACUGAGACACGGCCCAGACUCCUACGGGAGGCAGCAGUAGGGAAUCUUCCGCAAUGGACGAAAGUCUGACGGAGCAACGCCGCGUGUAUGAAGAAGGUUUUCGGAUCGUAAAGUACUGUUGUUAGAGAAGAACAAGGAUAAGAGUAACUGCUUGUCCCUUGACGGUAUCUAACCAGAAAGCCACGGCUAACUACGUGCCAGCAGCCGCGGUAAUACGUAGGUGGCAAGCGUUGUCCGGAUUUAUUGGGCGUAAAGCGCGCGCAGGCGGUCUUUUAAGUCUGAUGUGAAAGCCCCCGGCUUAACCGGGGAGGGUCAUUGGAAACUGGAAGACUGGAGUGCAGAAGAGGAGAG
rnacentral:rRNA from 1 species